GAUGAACGCUGGCGGCGUGCCUAAUACAUGCAAGUCGAGCGAACGGACGAGAAGCUUGCUUCUCUGAUGUUAGCGGCGGACGGGUGAGUAACACGUGGAUAACCUACCUAUAAGACUGGGAUAACUUCGGGAAACCGGAGCUAAUACCGGAUAAUAUUUUGAACCGCAUGGUUCAAAAGUGAAAGACGGUCUUGCUGUCACUUAUAGAUGGAUCCGCGCUGCAUUAGCUAGUUGGUAAGGUAACGGCUUACCAAGGCAACGAUGCAUAGCCGACCUGAGAGGGUGAUCGGCCACACUGGAACUGAGACACGGUCCAGACUCCUACGGGAGGCAGCAGUAGGGAAUCUUCCGCAAUGGGCGAAAGCCUGACGGAGCAACGCCGCGUGAGUGAUGAAGGUCUUCGGAUCGUAAAGCUCUGUUAUUAGGGAAGAACAUAUGUGUAAGUAACUGUGCACAUCUUGACGGUACCUAAUCAGAAAGCCACGGCUAACUACGUGCCAGCAGCCGCGGUAAUACGUAGGUGGCAAGCGUUAUCGGGAUUAUUGGGCGUAAAGCGCGCGUAGCCGGUUUUUUAAUGUCUGAUGUGAAAGCCCACGGCUCAACCGGUGGAGGGUCAUUGGAAACUGGAAAACUUGAGUGCAGAAGAGGAAAGUGGAAUUCCGUGUGUAGCGGUGAAAUGCGCAGAGAUAUGGAGGAACACCAGUGGCGAAGGCGACUUUCUGGUCUGUAACUGACGCUGAUGUGCGAAAGCGUGGGGAUCAAACAGGAUUAGAUACCCUGGUAGUCCACGCCGUAAACGAUGAGUGCUAAGUGUUAGGGGGUUUCCGCCCCUUAGUGCUGCAGCUAACGCAUUAAGCACUCCGCCUGGGGAGUACGACCGCAAGGUUGAAACUCAAAGGAAUUGACGGGGACCCGCACAAGCGGUGGAGCAUGUGGUUUAAUUCGAAGCAACGCGAAGAACCUUACCAAAUCUUGACAUCCUUUGACAACUCUAGAGAUAGAGCCUUCCCCUUCGGGGGACAAAGUGACAGGUGGUGCAUGGUUGUCGUCAGCUCGUGUCGUGAGAUGUUGGGUUAAGUCCCGCAACGAGCGCAACCCUUAAGCUUAGUUGCCAUCAUUAAGUUGGGCACUCUAAGUUGACUGCCGGUGACAAACCGGAGGAAGGUGGGGAUGACGUCAAAUCAUCAUGCCCCUUAUGAUUUGGGCUACACACGUGCUACAAUGGACAAUACAAAGGGCAGCGAAACCGCGAGGUCAAGCAAAUCCCAUAAAGUUGUUCUCAGUUCGGAUUGUAGUCUGCAACUCGACUACAUGAAGCUGGAAUCGCUAGUAAUCGUAGAUCAGCAUGCUACGGUGAAUACGUUCCCGGGUCU
rnacentral:rRNA from 1 species